UUUGAUUCGUGAUGGUCUCAGAUGAAAAUCUCGGGCUGAGAAGAAUGAACGAUAUAUGCAAAAGCUCACAAGGAGCAGGCUGAGAGAGAUAGAAUUGGAGACACUUUAGACUUUGAAAUUAAGAGGUGGUCUACUGGAAAACAGGUCAACUUGCGCGCUUUGUUAUCAACUUUACAAUAUAUUCGUCCGAGUGACAAGAAGGUAGAUUACCAAAUCCAGAAGCUCACCAAUGCGGCUGACAAUGCCACUGCUCGAGAGAAAUUAGGAAAUG